rnacentral:rRNA from 1 species
AUUGAACGCUGGCGGCAUGCCUUACACAUGCAAGUCGAACGGCAGCACGGGUGCUUGCACCUGGUGGAGAGUGGCGAACGGGUGAGUAAUACAUCGGAACAUGUCCUGUAGUGGGGGAUAGCCCGGCGAAAGCCGGAUUAAUACCGCAUACGAUCUACGGAUGAAAGCGGGGGACCUUCGGGCCUCGCGCUAUAGGGUUGGCCGAUGGCUGAUUAGCUAGUUGGUGGGGUAAAGGCCUACCAAGGCGACGAUCAGUAGCUGGUCUGAGAGGACGACCAGCCACACUGGGACUGAGACACGGCCCAGACUCCUACGGGAGGCAGCAGUGGGGAAUUUUGGACAAAGGGCGAAAGCCUGAUCCAGCAAUGCCGCGUGUGUGAAGAAGGCCUUCGGGUUGUAAAGCACUUUUGUCCGGAAAGAAAUCCUUGGCCCUAAUACGGUCGGGGGAUGACGGUACCGGAAGAAUAAGCACCGGCUAACUACGUG